CUUGGGUGCCAGAGGAAUAAGUUUCAUAAUCCUCAAAUAUGACUCUUUUUUUUGGCUAAAAUUUCAAAUGAUAAUUUAAUGGACACUCUCACUUUGUAUCAUAGUUAAGACAAUGACUGCAUAUGCCUUUGUGUUUGAAAUUUUAGGAACUAAUAGUUUUUGUAUGAUGUCAGAAGUGUUAUAUUCUAAACUAAAACAUGUAAACUGUGCAAAAGUUUAAA
rnacentral:lncRNA from 1 species